rnacentral:lncRNA from 1 species
UUUUUUUUUUUUUUUUUUUUUUUUUUUUUUUUUGCAAUGAAUCUUUACGUUAUUUCCAGUCUUGAUUAACCUGCAAUGGGAUUUUUCUUGUGCAAUACAAUAAAUAUAUCCACCUUGUAUAAAUCUGAGUACAGCACUCAAAAAUCUAUCUGAAUAUCACAUAGUAAGUGGUUGUGUAUUCUGAAUAAACAAUGCAAAAUGAAGCAAUUUGUAAUGUAUUUUGAAUUUUAAAACAUUUUUCCAAAAGAGAUUUGGAGUCCUAUGACUUACAGUAUCUUAAUUAAAUAUACAAUAAAAAUGCAACAAAGAUUUUUUUCAUUUGGUGAUUGUAUAAAUUUAUCCUGAACUGUUUAUUGAUUUCAGUAAAAACUAAUUCAGACUAUUUUAACUUUUAGAAGAAUAAUGUAAUUUCAUAGGUGCAUCAUUCCCAUAAGAAUUCACUGAAAAAAUAGAUUACAGUGUGAAAAUGUAAAUGAUGGUGAUAAAAAGAAAUUCUCUUUUUUCACAGUUACACAUCCCAUUAUCACCUAUAAUAUAGCAUUCACUGGAAGAGACAAAUAUCUAACACAAGAAAGCAUAGAAUUACUUUAAAGGAAAUGAGCAAAAUUUGAAAAAUACUAUGAAUAGAGAGAGGAAAAUAAAAAAAUAUCCAAACAGAUAAAUAUUUGCUUUGGAAGAAUAAAUAGAACAUUCUUUACUGCUAUUUCAAGACCAGUGGAAAAUAUUUCUUACAGACACAGGGUUUUUUUUUUCCUACUCCCUCUCAAUACUGGAUAAUUUGUGAAGGAAUCACUUCAUGUAGAAAAAACAAUGAAGAUGAACUUAAGCAAUGUUUUUAAUAGAUAUACCACCAAACUUCAGCGGGUCAUUGGGGAGACAGAUCGAUGGAAAGUAUGUUAUCACUAACAUCAAAAAGAAUAGAUCUAUCACAGAAAAAAACACCCCAAACUAUUUAAAAAUUUAAAGCAUUAUCUAUAGAAUUUUUAUUCAAAGGCUUUUUUGAACAAUUGUGGUUGCUUGCACAUUUUGACAAUAGACAGUUCCCACAAACCCUAUCCUCAUGGUCAAAAUACUACACAAAGUUUUUAGUUUUCUUGUGUAAUUAGAUUUGAUAUGUACUUCAGUUUUGUUUAAAAAAAUAUAUGCAUUAGUGAUUAUUAUCUGUCUUUAAAGAAAAGAGCAAUAUUGCUGCGAUCCAACAGAAAAAAAAUCCAAAAAACUAAACCAAUGUCAGAAAAUGUCAGAAAACACAUUUUUUGCCUUUAUAAUCUCUAUAUUAAAAUACAUAUUUACCACAAUAAAUCAUGUACUACACAGGAUAUCUUGUAUUAUCUGCCUGAGUCAUAUCCAAAAGACUGCAAUCCAUGGUUACUUUCUCCCUGGUGUUCAUAUUUCUUGAAGUGUGUCUUUUGUGUAUUUCCAGUGUGUCCUUCAUUCUGAUGCUAUAGAUCUGCCUUUUCCCUUCCUCCCUGAGGCCAAUGGAAUUUGUGAGUUUUUCACAGCCCACUUGUUCUGUGCUGCAGUACAGUAGGCCCUUUACUGAUGAGUUUGUGCUAAAAAGACUCCUUGACUUGAACAGCACAGGGCCUCCAAAGACCUUCAUCCUGCUCCUCAGAUCGGGGCAAACACGGCCCAAUGGGCCAAGGAGAUGGGAGAAGAGCCCUCAGCAGCAACACAGACCAGAAGUAUCACCUGGAGCCAUCAGCAUGUGUGCUACAUUCACAGCCUGCUGGUAAGCUGGGGAUACCAGAGAAUUCUUUUCCUGAGAGAAAUAAUAACCACAAAUUUAUUACAACUUUGUGAAAAUCAGAAGGUGCAAUUGAGAUUGGUGAUGUGUUCUACAGAUUUUACUGUAAAAUAAUCUGAUUAAUCUAAAUUAACAUAAUGUAAUAAACUAUUUACUUUUCCAAGGGUGAAAUCUGCAGUGGGUGAGAGAAGAAUAAAACUAUUCUUUUAUAAGCUGUGUAAUGGCUGCUAUCUUAUUUAGAAAAUAGAAUUUUACAUACAAGUGGGAAAUGUUGCUUAUCCCUCUAGAGAAAAAUUUUCAUGAAAAUAUUCUGGUUGUCCAAUGAAAAGUCAAAACAUUGUCUAUCAAGCAUAAAAUAAAGUUAUUUUUAAAAAUUCUUGCUUUUUCCAUCAAAUAAGUUUCGAGUAAGCAUAUUCAGUUUUAUUUCUAUGAGUUGCUUUACUUGAACAGAAUAUUUGUACAAAACAAUCAAUGUUCAAAAUAAAACCAUUUAUGUUGGCUGAAUUCAGCCCUUUUUCAUGUCCUAAUCAAGGCCUAACGUUUCAUUUAUCUUGGUUAUUUUGGAUAACAUUUUUCCCUUUGGGACUGGGAUAAGAAGUAGAAUACUGGACCAAAUUCAUUGAAAUGUAUUUGCAGCCAGAAUUAGUCUGAAAAUUCACCCCAUGGAAAGUUUCAAAUUGGAAAGAAAAUAUAAGAAGGGCAAAUAUUUCAUAUGGAAAUCCUGCCAUAUGGUUUGCCAAGAGUUGACCCCCAAGUCUCCCUUGCCAGAGGAGUGUUGCAUGACCAGGAUACAUAUAGUAGUAGCCUUUCUUAGCUAGUCUGACUAAAGAAAAUCCCCAGAUGUAAUGUAGCUCGGCAAUCCAGCUAUCCAUUUAUUAGUGGAGAGGCAGGGAAGGUGACCUACCGCCCUUCUAAUCACUGUACUAAAGGCACUGGAGUAGCAGCCUUCCAGCCUUCUGACACAUGGUUCUUACACUCUUUUCUAACACAAAAACCAGAUCUCUUCUAUGAAAAAAGAAAUGGGUUUAGGUCACAAGCCCAGCUGGCCAUUAAAAAAAAAAAAAAAAAGCCCAAAUAGUGAAAUAUAACUUCUCAUACUCCUUUGACCCAAGACUCUCUUCACAGUUAGUGGGAGAAGCAGUCAUCUCUGAGCUACAAUUCCUCUAGAACAGGUCAGAUAAAUUUUACCCAAAAGUGCCUAUUUGUUUCCAUGGACUCCCAACAUGCAUAUCAGCAUAUCAUAUCAAUCAGAUUGUAUCAUAUCAUAU